GAUGAACGCUAGCGGCAGGCUUAACACAUGCAAGUCGAGGGGUAGAGGAAGCUUGCUUCCUUGAGACCGGCGCACGGGUGCGUAACGCGUAUACAAUCUACCUUUUACAGAGGGAUAGCCCAGAGAAAUUUGGAUUAAUACCUCAUAGUAUUUUCGGAUCGCAUGAUUUGAUUAUUAAAGUUCCAACGGUAAAGAUGAGUAUGCGUCCCAUUAGCUAGAUGGUAAGGUAACGGCUUACCAUGGCAAUGAUGGGUAGGGGUCCUGAGAGGGAGAUCCCCCACACUGGUACUGAGACACGGACCAGACUCCUACGGGAGGCAGCAGUGGGGAAUAUUGGACAAUGGGCGAAAGCCUGAUCCAGCAAUGCCGCGUGAGUGAUGAAGGCCUUAGGGUUGUAAAGCUCUUUUACCCGNGAUGAUAAUGACAGUAUCGGGAGAAUAAGCUCCGGCUAACUCCGUGCCAGCAGCCGCGGUAAAGUGACUACUG
rnacentral:rRNA from 1 species